rnacentral:rRNA from 1 species
GACGAACGCUGGCGGCGUGCCUAAUACAUGCAAGUCGAACGCAUUUUCUUUCACCGUAGCUUGUUACACCGAAGGAAAAUGAGGGGCGAACGGGUGAGUAACACGUGGGUAACCUGCGCAUCCGCGGGGGAUAACACUUGGAAACAGGUGCUAAUAUCGCAUAAUUCCAUUUACCGCAGGGUAAAUGGACGAAAGGCGCUUUUGCGUCACUGAUGGAUGGAGUCGCGGUGCAUUGGCCAGGUGGUGGGGUAACGGCCUACCAAGGCUGCGAUGCAUAGCCGACCUGAGGGGCGGCUCGGCCACAUGGGGAGUGGGACACGCCCCAGGGUCCUGGGGGAGGCAGCAGAAGGGAAUCUUCGGCAGGGACGCGAGUCUGACCGAGCAGCGCCGCAUGAGUAAAGAAGGUUUUCGGAUCGGAAAACUCUGUUGUUAGGUAAGAACAAGGAUGAGAGUGUAAAGUUCAGCCCUUGACGGUAUCUAACCAGAAAGCCACGGCUAACUACGUG